GACGAACGCUGGCGGCGUGCCUAAUACAUGCAAGUCGAACGCAGUGGGGACGGGUGAGUAACACGUGGGUAACCUCCCAUCAGAGGGGAUAAAACUUGGAAACAGGUGCAAAACCGAUAUUGAAGGAUGGACCCGCGGUGCAUUAGCUAGUUGGUGGGGUAACGGUUCACCACGGCCACGAUGCAUAGCGGACCUGAGAGGGUGAUCGGCCACACUGGAACUGAGACACGGCCCAGACUCCUACGGGAGGCAGCAGUGGGGAAUAUUCGGCAAUGGACGAAAGGCUGACCGAGCAACGCCGCGUGAGUGAAGAAGGUUUUCGGGUCGUAAAGCUCUGUUGGUAGAGAAGCGGUAUUUAACCAGAAAGCCACGGCUAACUACGUGCCAGCAGCCGCGGUAAUUC
rnacentral:rRNA from 1 species